CAAGUCUCUCCUCUCCUGUUAUCUCACAGCUUUUCCAAUGGUGUUCAUUGAAGAAGCCUCUCCUUCUCCAUCUUCUUCCACCCGUCCAUGGAAAUACCAUGUCUUCUUGAGUUUUAGAGGAGAGGAUACCCGCAAUAAUUUCACAGGCCAUCUAUACAGCGCUUUGUGUGAGAAGGGAAUCAUCACCUUCAUGGAUGAUCAGCUCAUACGAGGAGAACAAAUAUCACCAGCACUUCUCCAAGCAAUUGAGCUCUCGAAGAUUUCAAUCAUUGUGCUCUCUAAAGACUAUGCAUCCUCCAAGUGGUGCUUGGAUGAACUUGUCAAGAUCCUCGACUGCAAGAAAUCAUAUCAACGAAUCGUUCUGCCAGUUUUCUACAAAGUCGAUCCUUGGAUAUACGAAAUCACAAAGGUAGCUUCGGGGAGGGACUUGCUAGUCUGGAAUGCAAAUUCAAGGAUAACAUGGAGAAGGUGCAGAAAUGGAAGGCAGCUCUUAGAGAAGCGUCAAAUUUGUGUGGGUGGACUCUCUCAGGGCAUUGUUCUGAAUCCAGUGAAAUUGAUGAAAUCAUUGAAGAGAUUUCAGAGCAGGUUAUACACAAUACAUAUUUGGAUGUGACCAAGUACCCAGUAGGAAUAGAACCUCGUGUGCAAGAGAUCCAUAAGCUUUUAGGUGUUGAGGAAGAGAUGUUCAUAUGUUAGGGAUAUGGGGUGCUGGUGGAAUAGAAAAUGUUAGGGAAAAUUCAAAGGGUGCUGGAGGCUUUGUGCAACUACAAAGGAUACUUCUCUGUGAAAUCCUAAGGGGAACAAAAUUGGAGGUGGCCAAUGUAGCUAGAGGAAUCACUAUGAUAAAGGAAAGGUUGCAAUACAGAAGUGUUCUCUUAGUUCUUGAUGAUGCGAGUGACAUGAAUCAGUUAAACAACUUAGCUGGUCAAUGUAGUUGGUUUGGUAGGGGUAGCAAAAUUAUCAUACAACAAGGGAUAUGCAAUUGCUGAGAGGUCAUAGUGUUGAUUUGAUAUAUGAGGUUCAAGGAUUGGCUCAUGGUGAAGGUCUCGAGCUUUUUAGUAUGAAUGCCUUUAAAAGAAGUCAGCCUUUGGUUGGUUAUGAAGAACUCACAGAACGUGCAGUACACUAUGCUCAAGGCCUUCCACUAGCUUUGGUUGUUUUAGGUUCUUCUCUAUGUGGUGGAAGUGUUGAGAAAUGUCAACCAAGGUCACUGCAGCCCGGCCUCAACCCAGAUCACUACAGCCGGGUAGUCCGCCGUCGCCGAAUUCUCCCCAUCAUUUCAGAAUCAGAGACCCAUUUCAGAGAGAUGAGAGCAGCUGAGUAUGAGUGUAUGACUGAGAAUAUUACCAUGCUGAUAGAUGUGCACCAACUUGUCUAUCAACUUUUGAUUUUCAAUUUAUAUUAUAUUUCAACCACAAGACACUAAAUUACGUGUAUAUUCGAUUUAGAAUCAACUCAAUAUCUGUAGAGGAUCAGAGUGCUAUGAUCU